GAUGAACGCUGGCGGCGUGCCUAAUACAUGCAAGUCGAGCGAACGGACGAGAAGCGUGCUUCUCGGAUGUUGGAGGCGUAAGGGUGAGUAAAACGAGGAUAACCUACCUAUAAGACUGGGAUAACUUCGGGAAACCGAUGCUAAUACCGGAUAAUAUUUUGAACCGCAUGGUUCAAAAGCGAAAGACGGUCUUGCUGUCACUUCUAGAUGUAUCCGCGCUGCAUUAGCGAGUUGGUAAGGUAACGGCUUACGAAUGCAACAAUGCAUAGCCGACCUGAGAGGGGGAUCGGCCACACAGGGACUGAGACACGGCCCAGACUCCGACGGGAGGCAGCGGUAGCGACGCUUCCGCGAUGGGCGGAAGCCUGACGGAUCAGCGCAGCGUGGAUGAUGAAGGGCUUCGGACGGUAUGACUCUGUUAUUAUGGAAGACCGUUUGUGUAAGUAACUGUGCUCAUCUUGACGGUACCUGAACAGAAAGCAACGGCUAACUACGUG
rnacentral:rRNA from 1 species